rnacentral:tRNA from 1 species
GGAGACGUGGCCGAGUGGUCGAAGGCGCUCCCCUGCUAAGGGAGUAAACGUUGACGCGUUUCGAGGGUUCGAAUCCCUUCGUCUCCGCCA